AACCAAGCUUCUAUGCUCUUUUCUGUCACUGCCAGUUCCUUGUAAGGGUGAAAAUCCCUCCGGUGAAGAAGUGAAUAACAUGCUUAAUGGAGCAUUUCCAUUUUUUUUAGCAAAGAAUGCUUCAAAAGUUCUUGUUGGUUGGAUAUGAUGGAUCAGGAACCAGUACCAUAUUUAAACAGGGGAUGAAGGAUGCGAGAUUGAUGUUUUGAUGGGCUCACUAAAGUCAAAAACCAAGGACUUCGACAUAUUUUUCUCUCUCUUUGGUUAAGAUACUCUAUAUGAAAUUGAUUGUAAUAGACUUUGUUGGUUAAGAUCUUCUAUAUGAAAUUGAUUGUAAUAGACUUUGUUAGUUAAGAUUUUCUAUAUGAAAUUGAUUAUACUUUAUAUUAGGAUUAUCAUGAUAUUUACUUUA